rnacentral:lncRNA from 1 species
AGUGCAUCAUGAUUUGCAUAGCACACUAAGUUCAGGCAGGGUUCAGAAGUGUUUCAUAACAGGAGCCAUUGAGAAGACAGUAUGUCCGGAUCUCAGCGUAGUGGGGUACGUACUCCCUUUGAGGACCUGACAAACAACGACAGUUCAGGUAAAUACAUAUAUCACCUACUCUUACCUACUAAGAUCAUGUAAGUACCGACUAUGUUAUUGCGUCGCAGGUCAAAAAACAGAUCCAAAAGAACUAAAGAGACAGAGGGAAAGGGAGAGGUUUGCACUAAACAGGGAUGCAAUAUUGAAAAAAAGAAAGGAGGCAAGGGAUCGUAAGAAAGCUAUGCCCGCUAUUUUAAAUGGAACCAACACUCCAUCUAAGCCACCCGUGGCCAUGUCGCCUGGUUACUCAAUUUUCUCUGUUCUCUAUCAUACAUUUCAUUAAUCACAUCUAAAGACAUGUUAAUUAAAAGUCCCUUUCGACAGGUUUUGACACUGUGGGGAUGCCCAGUGCGCAGUCUGCUAUCACCCAGCAACGACACACACCAGUUGUGGAAGGUCAUGUGUUCUCCUACAUCCAGACAUACUACCGGCUUUUGUGUGUCAGCAGCUGACUUUGGUAAUACAAUUUUGAUGCAGGCAUACCUGUUGAUGUGGUAAUGAGUGAUCAGACUCCACUUCAUGGUCCAUGUGAACUAACAACACCAGAUACUGUCGGGUCUAACAAGGAAAAUGUUGAUAAUAUUAACUCUGCCAUUGAGUCCUCCCAACUUACUGUGUUACGACCGCCACUUCAAGCCUACAGAUGCAGCAGUUCGUAUGGUAAUCAUUUCUGGCUCAUAUUAACAAUCAUACAUAAUGCACACAUACAUCGUACAUAGUAUAAACCUAUGUUGCUCAAGUUCUCUUGAACCUAAUUCACACUUACUAUACAGAAGAAAAACAAGCACUGAAGAGGCAGAGGGAAAAUGCCCGGUAUGAGCAACAUAAAGAAGAGAUAUUGCAAAGCCUACGUGACAAACGUCGUGCAGCCAAAUCUACAGUAGUGCUUACAACCGGAGAACAAAACCAAUCUGAUACAGGUGAUGCCAGCUACAUGAAACACUGUAUUUCUUAUAUUAGAUUUCCUAACUGAGAUUCACUCGAUGUUUCUGUAGCUAAUGAAGAUUGUGAUUGGCUCCACACAAAUGAUAUGUACCAGAGACAAACCAUUGGAAGGAUGAUGAGGCGAGACAACAUAGUCACUGCGUCGUCACGUGGACACAAUCAAGUCAACAAUUAUAAUGGUGCUUUCAUUGACUACUUCUUGGUUCAUGCCUUUCAUUCAACGCUGAAACUUGCCCAUUUUGCAACAUAUGUUGUCAGGCAACGACCACGACGAUGAUGCAUAUGGAAUACUGGAGCCCGAUGGCAACACAACAAAUAUGGAUGGUACACAUAAAUGCAUUUACGGUUCUAUGUUUAUUUUAGGAUAUCUUAUAACUAAUAUUUGUCUACUAUAUAGACUGCUUGGGAGUUGAAAAUCUUAUUGAAACUGAAUAUGUUGAGCCUGAUGAAGAAGCUAGGAUGUUCGCCCACCAAGGUACCAUAUUGCUAUCAUGAGUUUCCAUAUAUAGUAUAAUACUGUCUUUUCUGCAGAACAAAAUAUUAAUUAAUCUUCAUAUUCCAAUCCAGAUGUUGACUUUGAAUCCUACCGAGUUGAACGACGUCACACUGAUGGAACACCAACAAAUGAUCCUAAUGAUAGGGCUUACAUUAACCUUCCCAAAAAUCACCAUGUCCUUAGAAAAGUUAGGGACUGUCUCCACUGUGGAGCAUUGCGGUUUCAAUACGAGGGACCUGCAUUUUGUUGCAGAAAGGGGAAAGUAGAUUUAUUUACUCCCGAGGUCCCAGACGAGUUGAAACGGUUGUUCACAAGUCAACGUGAUGACGAUGCUAAACAUUUUCGAGACAAUAUUCGGUAUUUCAACUCUCACUUCUCAUUCACAAGUCUUGGAGUCACCCUUGAUCGUCGAGUAAGCACUGCAGCAAGAACCGGCGUAUAUACCUUUCGUGCUUGUGGGGGGUUGUACCACGCUCUUGAUGAGCUGGUGCCGGCUGAUAAUGGCCCUAGGCAUUUGCAACUCUAUAUUUAUGAUACAGAUCAUAACUUGGGGCACAGGACUAAUAGGUCUCCAGAUCUAGAUAUAGAUCUCAUACGGAAAAUUCUGGGAAUACUAGAGCAGAACCCUUAUGCACAGGCUUUCAAGAGCCUUGGGUCUGUUCCGAAUCUAGAUGAGUACAAGAUCUCACUAAACACAGAUAUCAAGUUGGAUCAACGUAGGUACAAUGCCCCAACGACUUCUCAGGUGGCAGCGAUAUGGGUUGAAGGGGGUGAUCCACAAAACUAUUUUGACAGGAGUGUUGUCGUGCAUGCCAAAAAAGGAGACCGACCACUCUAUAUUUAGAGCAUACUAUGGUUGCUAUGACCCAUUGUCAUAUCCACUGUUUUUACCACGUGGGGAGACUGGUUGGAAUCGUUGGAUGCCGUAUGUUCAGGCCCCCGAUGCCGUAUGUUCAGGGUAAGCAUUUCGGAGAAGUCGCAGCUUAUGUACAUGUCACGGAGUUUCAGAAACGAGGCCUUCCUCAUGAGCAUAUACUUUUAAUCAUGAAAACAAAAAGCAAGUUAGCAUCCCCAGAUGACUAUGAUCGGGUGAUAUCCGCAGAGAUACCUGACAAAGAGAAACACCCCGUUCUGCAUGACCUGGUCGUCAAACACAUGCUGCACGGACCCUGUGGUGAGUUGAAAAAGAGUUGUCCUUGCAUGAUUGAGGGACAGUGUAGGUUUCAUUAUCCGCGAGAUUUUUGUGAUGCACUGAUGCCACACAACAAGGGAAAGACUCUUAUCCCAUCUAUCGGAGGAGGGAUGAUGGGCGUGGAGUUAGGAUCAGAGGAGCGAAUUUGGACAAUAGAUGGGUGGUCCCUUACAACCCUUCUUUGCUUAUGCGAUAUAACUGCCACAUUAAUGUGGAAGCAUGCUCGAGCAUCAAGGCAGUCAAGUAUUUGUUCAAGUACAUCUAUAAAGGCCACGAUCGGACGUCCUUUGCAUUCGAGCAGGACAUAAUCAAUGAUGGUGGAAUCAUCAAUGAAAUCCGACAAUAUAGGGAUGCACGCUACGUAUCUCCUCCAGAGGCUAUUUACAGGAUUUUUGGUUUCAAAAUGUUUGGUGUCAGUCCAUCAGUGCUGCAGCUCCAGCUUCAUUUGCCGAACAUGCAUACAAUUGCAUUUAAAGCUGGUGAAAAUCUUGAAGAUGUUGUCGCUCGACCAUCUUCAUCCAGGUCCAUGCUUACCGAGUACUUUGAGAUGAACCGGAGGAAUCCGCAAGCACAGAAAUUGUUGUACAGAGAGUUUCCAGAGCAUUAUAGAUGGAUAGCUGGAAAAAAGAAGUGGCAGAAGAGAAGAAAUAACAGAUCACAGAUUGGAAGACUUGUGUAUGCACACCCUGCUGAAGGAGAGAGGUACUACUUGCGUGUGCUGCUAAGUCAUGUUCAAGGUGCCACUUCUUUUGAUCAUUUAAAAACAGUAAAUGGCAACCUAUGCACUUCCUUUAGAGAGGCAUGUGAGCACUUAGGCCUCAUUGAGCACGACAAGACUCUUGAUGAUUGCAUGACAGAGGCAGCCACAUUUCAGAUGCCUUCUGCCCUAAGACGGUUGUUUGUAACUAUAUUGGUAUUUUGCGAGGCAACGGAAAUACGACAAUUGUGGGAUAAACAUCUACCAUCAAUGUGUGAGGACUACAGUCGUAAUGAAUCCAAUGAGUCGGUACUUGAGCAGAUGGUCCUUCGAGAUAUUAGGGAUAUGUUGCAAUCCAUGGGAAAGGAUAUUAAGAGCUAUGGACUUCCGGAUCUGGUUGAGACCGAUGGUUCUUAUGACAGUGAGUACAAAGAGGUAACAGAGGAGAGGCAAAUCACCACGGACACAGAACAUCUAGAUCUACUUAGCAGUUUGAACAAUGAGCAGCUAGCUGGUUUCAAUGACAUAAUGGAUCAUGUGAUGAACAAAAAAAGCCAGAUAUUCUUUGUUGAUGGUCCAGGAGGAACUGGGAAGACGUACUUGUACAAGGCAUUGCUAGCAAAGGUGCGUUCCAUGGGCGAAAUCGCGAUCGCAACUGCUACAUCUGGUAUUGCAGCGUCGAUAAUGCCUGGAGGACGCACAGCACACUCCCGGUUCAAAAUUCCAAUCAAGCUCACUGACAACAGUAUGUGCGGUUUCACAAAACAGAGUGGUACAGCGGAGUUGCUUAGACAGGCGUCCCUGAUAAUUUGGGACGAAGUCGCUAUGACAAAACGACAAGCAGUUGAGACGCUUGAUAGAUCACUACAGGAUAUAAUGGAAUGUUCUUUGCCGUUUGGAGGAAAGGUUGUUGUCUUUGGUGGUGAUUUCAGGCAGGUCCUACCCGUUGUGACACGUGGGACAAGAGCACAAAUAACGGAUGCUACACUUCUGAGAUCCUAUCUUUGGGAGAAGACCCGCAAGAUACGUCUCACGCGCAAUAUGCGGGCACAGGCUGAUCCUUGGUUCUCAGAAUACCUACUAAGGAUAGGCAAUGAAACUGAAGAGACAAUUGGCGACGAUUAUGUCCGUCUCCCUGAGGACAUUGUCAUUGGCUAUACCGUGGAUGAAAAAGCUAUUAACAUGCUCAUCGAAAAUGUCUUCCCAUCUUUGCAGGCCAAUGCUAGAUCGAGAGAGUACAUGAGUGCACGUGCUAUUCUUUCAACCAAGAACGAUCAUGUCGAUGACCUGAAUGACAAAAUGAUCUCCAGGUUUCCAGGCGAAGAAAAGUUAUACCAUAGUUUUGACUCAAUUGAGGAUGACUUGCAGAAUAAUUACACAAUUGAUUUUUUGAACUCAAUCACACCAAAUGGCUUGCCCCCGCAUGUUUUGAAAUUAAAGGUCAACUGUCCAGUCAUUCUGCUCCGGAACCUCGACCCUCAUAAUGGUCUAUGCAAUGGAACACGGCUUAUGAUCAGAGCCUUUCAGGAUAAUGCAAUCGAUGCGGAGAUUGUUGGUGGUCAGCAUGCUGGAAAGAGGGUGUUUAUACCUAGGAUCCCUAUGUCACCCUCAGAGGACAUCUCACUUCCUUUCAAACUUAAGAGAAAACGGUUCCCCAUCCGCCUGAGUUUUGCCAUGACAAUUAACAAGGCACAGGGUCAGACCAUCCCAAAUGUCGGCAUUUACCUUCCCGAGCCAGUAUUCUCACAUGGGCAGCUAUAUGUUGCAUUGUCAAGAGGAGUGUCGAGAGAGACGACACGGAUUUUGGCCAAGCCAAACAAGGAUGUUGAUAAAUCCGGGAAAAGCACCAAGAACAUUGUCUAUAGAGAUGUUUUGGAGAGAUGAGGCAGGUGCAUUAUUCCAUUAUUUCUUUUCACAUACUAUGUUCGCUUUGAAAACCAGCUUAUGAAACUAGCUCCUUACAAGCUUAUCAUUUUUGUAGCCGUAUCUCAUGUCAUCCACUAAUCACUUCACAUUUUUUGUUGAUCAGGUUUGAGAAAUAUUCUUGUUCAGGAUAAUUGAGGCUUUGCUGUGGUUACUGGUCUCCACAUGUGCAACUUGUAAACCUGUAUGGAAGAGAAGAACAUGGUCGAAUGAUGCUACGACAUGGUGUCAGAUCAUACAUAAUAAGGAACGCUUUGUGCUGUAUCCUGUACUAUCUACAUUUUCCCUUCGAAAUUACUUUCUGUUAAACAUGUUCUUGAAUGCCCAAGUGAGAUGCUCUAUGAUAUAUUUGUAACGAAAACUGCAAAAGACUGAGAUUCCUGGAAUAUAUUCUUGAAUGCCUAUGUGAGAUGUUAUAUAAUCUAUUUGUAACGAAAACUGCAAAAGACUGAGAUUCCUGGAAUAUAUUGAAGUUAAAAGGCAUUUUUACUACUAUGUUGCAAAUAGGACGUUCCCGGAUCUAUAGCACACGAGCUCACAUGCUUUCUUUUUUUAGAAACAAUCAAAAGAAUAAUGCAUACAAUAUUCAUAAAAGAAUAUAAGUCAUGUAACAGACUAAACUGGUGGAUAACCACAGUGGGCGAGAAUACCUCUUCCAACAUGCAUCAAACCAGUUGAAGAUAUGCCUCCUAUUCCGUGCAGCAUUUUCUACUUCACCUCUUCACUGAUCUCCCCCUUGGCUGGCUUGAAGGAUCAUGUGAUGAACCAAAAAAAUUCAAAAGAACAAGUCGUGAUCUCCCACAGUCGCAAGCUCAUGUACAAGAAGGCAACCACCAUACAACAGCUGAAUUUCAAAUGAAACAGAAAAAAUUAGUUUCUCAAAUAUUAAAAGGGUGUGCCUUUUCUGAAUUAAGCCCACAAUUACAGAAGGAAGGUGGGCCAAUCACAAUAUUUAUGCAUAUAAAAUGUACCACGAAAAUAACUCCAAUAAUUUUGUGUGAGUAUAAAAAAAGCACAAGAUAAGAUUCUGGGGCCUCAGAAAAAUCCGGGGAUGAUAGCAAUCAGGAGUCCCCAAUUAUCGCGAUACUAGUUUCCUUUCUCUCACGAUUCUGCCUUAUAUUGCCUGAUACCAUUACUUUCACCUCUCCUCCAUCCUCCCUCGCGAUCUCUCAUCCGCAUCCCAACCUACCUCCACAACAAGUCUCUCCACUGAGCCGCACACAUCUGCCCUUGGUGAAGCAUCGUCAUCGUCCAUGUCUACGCCUCCGUCACCGGUGCCCCAUGCGAGUCAAUCUCCAACCAGAUCCAGUACUACUGUCCAUGCUAUCGAGAUGGUAAAGACAUAUUAUAUCUCUGUUCUUUCUAUGCAAGGUUUCCUAUCUAAAAGUGUCAUACUUGGGUUGUUAGGAUGGCAUCAACAAUGUAGCAAAGGAUGAGGAUAUAGAUAAUAUGCAGGUUGAAGAGGUCAUAAAGGAGGACGAGGAUACAAACUAUGAGUCGGCACAGGUGAUACAAGAAGACUCUACUAUGGAGGAUACAGAGAAUAUGCAUAUUGAUGAGGUGAUAACCGUACAGGAGGAUACAUAUCCCGAGUCCACAGAGGCAAGUUUUCUUUCCACGUGUCAUUACUAUUCUAAUUCUAACACCAAAGAGCACUUUGUAAUUUUUUUAGUACAAUAUCAUAUCAAAAAGAUAUUCUAUCUGUUAUAAUAUUAUACUACCAUGUGUUUUAGCUACCGAGAGAUGACGAAUCAAGUGAAGUACUCAACAAUAAUGAAGUGGAGGAAAAUAAUUGCACGGAGAGCUCAGAAUAUACACCUAUUCUUGAAGAAAACAUAGCAAACAGAGAGGCCAAGGAUUCUGAACAUACAAAUGUGACUUUCCUUUUCCAACUACUUCUUCCAAAACUAUUAUAAUUAUAUUAUAUCCUACAUACGGGUAAUUCUUUUAAUAUUGUUUUCAGGAAUCCCACAACGAAACAAGUCAACAAAUGGUGGCAAGGCGAUGAUUGGUCCGUUAUAGAAAAAAUCAGAUCCGAACCAAGUAAAGAAAGAAAUUUAGUGAGCAUCGGCGACGCAUUUAUGAAAAAAAGACAUUUAGUAUCUCUUCUAUCUCCCGAAGAAUGGGUUGGCGACGAAGUAAGUAUAUUACGACAUGAAGAUGCUAUUUGAUUAUAAGUAUGUGCCAUCUAAUCUACUAUGUAUACUUUUAAUUGUAGGUCAUAAAUACGUACAUAAAUUGCAUGAUUUUUACGGAGCAUCUACAAGUAAGGUCAGGUGGAAGUGUGUUCUUAGAGAAUGCAUGCAUCUCUAAGAUGAUGAAGAUCGGUAGCUAUCUGCCCUCAGAUGACAUGGAUGCUGCACCAGCAUGGGUAUUAAACAGAGCCAAAGCGUAUUUGGAAAACGAUAUGGUUAGUCUUACUUUUCUACAUAUUUCUAUGAAUUACAACAAGAACGACCGAUUCGUCCACAUACUUCUACAACUAAAAUAAUCAUUUUCUUCAGAUAUACUUACCAAUAAACAUGGACGACAUUCACUCGUAUUUAUGUGUUAUAAAUGCCAAAAAAAAAUGUGUUCAAGUGCUCGACUUGCUAGGCCCAUACAUGAGCCGCAAGGACCUCACUGAUACGGUUAGUACUUAGUCCUACUCCCCCAUCUUUUCUAAGAACCUUCUUUUCUUAUUUCUCACUUGUGAUGCUUAUACUUUUUCCAUUUGUUGCUACAACAGCUAGAAGGACUAGAGGAUUUAUUCAAAUAUGCAUCCAAGCACAUGGAAUUAAAAUCCGAUAAGUGGAUUGAUCUAGAUGUUACAACAUGGAAAAGAGAAGAAUAUAUUAAGAGCAGUCUUCAGACGGAUGGGUACGCCUCCUACUAGAACUCAUCGCAUUUAUGCUUAACAGGGCACAUUUGGUAUGUUAUUAUGUUUAUUUUAUCACUCAUAGCAUUCCUGAAUCACAUUUGUUCAAGAGAUUUGGUAUGCCAAUGCAAUUAUUUACCUUAUUGUAUGCCAAUGCAAUUGUCACAACACAUCUCAUGAGAUCUGGCCUAAAUAAUGGAGCUCAAGGCGAUACACUUCAUUGGGCUGCAUAUAAAAAAUGCGUUAUGAUUUUCAAUCUAUUUUUAUUCACUCAUAGGGCUAAAUAGAGUAAGCAGCCAUGCAUUAACUUGUACUAUCAGCUAUGCUAGCAAUAUUACAGGAGAAGUAUCAGCUAUGCUAGCAAUAUUACAGGAGAAGAAGCAGAGCGUGUUCUGUUAUACUAUUAGGCAAUUGAGCAUAGAUCAAGUGUUUCUUUCCGCACCUGCAUAAAUUUGGGUAUAGCUCCAUGCCUUAUUUUUUUCUCCAUCUGUACCAUCCUGCAAUUGGAAGAAGCAAUGUAAAAAAAUAACAUCCUCUAUACAGGAGAUCAAGAACAAGAACUGAAAUUGCUAUUACCAUUACCUAUGAUAUAAAUAGUGCGAACUUUGAAUCAACCACUUUGUGGUACCUGGAAGAGUUAUUGUCCAUCAUUUGGUCAGGAAGUGUGU